rnacentral:tRNA from 1 species
GGAGGGGCUAUGGCUCAGCAGGAGAGCAUCUGCUUUGCAUACAGAAGGUCCCAGGUUCAAUUUCCACCCUCUCCA